GCGCUAUGUCAUACAAGUCUAAGAUGUAAUAAGAGUCGUAUAGAAAUAGCCGUGUAAGAAACCCAAAUUAUUUAAACCUAUAUUAAUGAAGGAUCCGAGUGAAUUUAAUGUUUGACAAGAGCACAUUCGAAUGUUUAUAAACGGACAAAAAUAAAACAGGCACAUCAAUCACAGAACAUAUGCAGAAGAGGAUUUUGUGCGAGUCAGCACGGAGUCGGCUCACUGUGCAACCCUUCCUUUGAUAUCUUACGAAUGGAAAUUAAAACUAAUUUCAAAAUUUAAAUUCAUUGUGAUGUUAGCGAUAGUGGUUUUAUUUCAACGAAUUUAAUGAAAGCAUUACGUGUCAUUUGUAGUUUACAUUUAAAAAUACUUUUGUUAAUUAUUUCAAAGUUUUGUUUAAAUAACUUCACAAUAAAACAAACAUAAUCGGCAAAUGAGCGAAAAUUUUAAA